GUAGUAACAAGAAGAAGAUCAACUGCACAAUUGGAACACUAUAUAUAUACGAGUGCAAAAGCGCGCAAUGGAUUCAAUUGGAGCCGAGGGAAUGUGAAUUUGAUCAACAACAAUGGAAGUCAACAAUUCUUCGAAAAAUUCAAAGCUUCUCAACACACUCAAACCCUUGAUCCUUCUAGGGUUUAUCUUUUCAUUGCUCACUACCCAUACAGUUAUCGCCAAAUCUCGCCGUCCAGUCACUGAUGCUGAAACCCGGCAAAAGAAGCAGGAGUGUUACGCCGAUAUCGAGAGUGGAUUGUGGGGUUGGCAAUGCAGAUCUUCAACUACCGAAAAGGAAAAUUGUGCCCUGCGAUGUCUUUCUCCUACUUGUUACGAUCUAGUUUAUGGUAGUGAUCCGCUCGAGGAAGGAGAAAAGGACCUUGCUAGGAGUCAAGAGUAUAAGUAUUGUAUAUAUAAGUUGUCGAUGGGGGAGAGUCUGGAGGGUAUUAAGGGAUCCUUUGACUACUGAUAUUUGUGAAGAUUGUCUGUGCUAUUUAACUGUCUGAUGUUCCAUUAUGCCCUGUUCUUCUGACUUGCCUUUUAACGUUUGGCUCAAAUUAUAAGUUACAGAUACCAAGUUGCUAUGUAAUAAAGGUAAUCAUUUAGGGCAUAUCGAGGGAAAUGCUAUCUAAAACUAUAAUAAUCAUUUUUGACAAUAAAGACUAUUUUGUAUUCCAUUA